rnacentral:tRNA from 1 species
GAGGGUAUAGUUCAAGUGGUAGAGCACAUGCUUAGCAUACACAAGGUCCUGGGUUCAAUCCCCAGUACCUCCU